ensembl:ncRNA mir-4911 mir-4911 stem loop
GUGAGGAGGAGCAAAGUGGCGCCACAAUUUACUAGAAACUAAUUGCAUCUUUUUGUCCCCCCGCGUAG